UACGUAGGGGGCAAGCGUUGUCCGGAUUUAUUGGGCGUAAAGAGCGUGUAGGCGGUUUGGUAGGUCCGCUGUGAAAACUCGAGGCUCAACCUCGAGACGCCGGUGGAAACCAUCAGGCUAGAGUCCGGAAGAGGAGAGUGGAAUUCCUGGUGUAGCGGUGAAAUGCGCAGAUAUCAGGAGGAACACCAAUGGCGAAGGCAGCUCGCUGGGACGGUACUGACGCUGAGACGCGAAAGCGUGGGGAGCAAACAGG
rnacentral:rRNA from 1 species